UAUCGCGAUUGACUUGUUCUUCUCUUUCUUCAAACCUACAAACAAACAUAUUGCGAUUCAAACCGAGAACAAGAUUCCUUUUUCUUUUCUCUUAAAUCUAUAUUGAUAUUUCAAUCACUGCAUGAAAUCAAAGACCAUUCUCUCCGAUUCUUGAUCCCCAUUUAUUGUAUUCUUCUUUCUUCUCUACGAUUCAUCGGUGAAGAGAUCGACGAACCGAAUCGGGGUGUUGAGAUGCGAUAGACAGGUAAGGGGGAGAUGGAUAGAGGAUACAAUUCCUUGCUGAAAAGACCAACAAGUCCAAGAUUGCGUCAAUGUGGUGGCCUCCCAUUGGGUGAACGGUGUAAAAGGGAAUUGAAACUUUUAUAUUUAAGAUCUUUUUCCUUUUCCAUCCUAAGGAAAAGACCAAAUAAUCACAAACCCUAAAAAACCUGUAUCUUCCCCUUCCCCUCUCUCUAUUGUUUCUUAUAUCCAUGCUCUGAAGUUUCGACUCAUAGGGUAUGGCUACUGAGAGUGCUUCUCGAUCGAGCUUAGCAGUCGAUUCGUAUAUAGGGAGCUUGAUAUGUUUGACUUCCAAGAGUGAGAUCAGAUAUGGAGGCAUUCUUAAUCUCAAAUUCACACUACCUUUGUCUGUAUAGAAUUUAAGAUCUUGCUUAAAUUUCACACAACAUUCUUAUUAGUAAGUUGUUGCAAGUUUUUAAGUCUCAUAAAAAGGGACUUUUUUGUUUCUCCGUAGAGUUUUCUUAUAUGUAUAUUUCUUUCUGUACUCACUUUGUAAUUUGCUUCAUUAAUGGCAGUACGAUCCUUAGAACAGAAGGAAAGAAAAAGGAUGAUCACACAUUCCACCAAGUGACAAAGUCUAUGAAUAUAUAUUAUUCCCUGGAAGUGAAAUCAAGGAUUUGCAGGUCAAAUCUUCUCCACCCACUCACCCUGCUUAACCUACACCACCAAUUAACAAUGAUCCAGCUAUCAUUCAGAUAGGGGAGAUUGGGAGUGCUUUAGUAAAUGUUUAGAGUUUGGUAUUAAAUUUUUACUAAUUAAAAUUCAUUGCAGCCAACGAUUAUCUUCUAGAACUGUGUGCAAGCUAUCUUGCAAAAAAAUUUGUAUGUGCCAAACUUUUAUUUGCUUAUUACAAGAACUUUAUACUA